GAGAGAGACGUAAACGUGAACGACACAUCUGUUGAUGUCACGCCAAAUUUGCCACGAGACGCAUUUGAUGGGGAUACAACUGCCAGCUCACCCGAAGAGAGUGAAGCUGAUGGUGAUGAAGAAGAGAUCCCCCAAACCCAGCAGGCCUCAACUGGCGAGGCUUAAAG